CUACGGGUUGCACCAGCGGGGAAUAUUGGGCAAUGGGCGCAAGCCUGAUCCAGCAAUGCCGCGUGAGUGAAGACGGCCUUAGGGUCGUAAAACUCUUUCGCUAGGGAAGAUAAUGACUGUACCUAGUAAAGAAGUCCCGGCUAACUCCGUGCCAGCAGCCGCGGUAAUACGGAGGGGACUAGCGUUGUUCGGAAUUACUGGGCGUAAAGAGUUCGUAGGCGGACUGACAAGUUAGAGGUGAAAUCCCAGGGCUCAACCCUGGAACUGCCUUUAAAACUGUCAGUCUAGAGACCGGAAGAGGUUAGGGGAAUACCUAGUGUAGAGGUGAAAUUCGUAGAUAUUAGGUGGAACACCAGUGGCGAAGGCGCCUAACUGGUCCGGUACUGACGCUGAGGAACGAAAGCGUGGGGAGCAAACAGGAUUAGAUACCCCAGUAGUC
rnacentral:rRNA from 1 species